UUACGGAAUCAUGAAAUUGUUUUAAUCCGGCAUCUGCAGCGUGCCAACUGUGUGCCAGCACUACAGCUGAGCCAGGCGAGGAACGUUCAUCUCAUGACCGAUUGUGAUCCUCGCUGGGGACAGGGGGCAGCUGCCAGAAAUUCUCUGUCAGCAAAACAUGGCAAGAUCCUUCCUCGAGGUCAGAGGCAGCUGGCUGUAGAGAGAGCCAAGCCUUACCAUCUGCCUUCAUCCGGACCAAGAGGAGCUGCAAGACCAAAGCCAUUCUCAACAGUAACAGGACAAGCUAAUGCAGGAGAUGUGCCUCCAAGAGCACCUUUCAGCAGUCGUGUACUGGCCAAAGUUAGAGAGUUAUGGGUAGGAAAUGAGCAGAAACCCACCUGAGAGAGAGAUUUUCUGUUAUGUGGUGUUUGUUAUGCAAAACACAUAUGUUUAUAUUAUGGUAAAUGUGUUUAGAGAAUUUAAGAGAGCUGAAACUAAAACAAGGAUUACCAUCAAGCUAUUGGUGUAUGGAUCUGGAUAGACUUGAUUGUGUGAUCAAAUAGUAACCUUUUCCCACUUGCUGAACAUGUUUCUGCUUUGUUUCUGCCUCUUUUAAUUAAAAACAGGCAGAAUGAUAAAGAGCAGAAAGAGGCCAGUAGUUGUCAGAUGAUUUUCCUACAGGUGGUAUGGCCAAAUCACCCUCAAUUCUGGUAUAUUUGGACUUGAGGGCAAUGAAGGUCAGUUACUGUCCUUCUCUGCUCUCCUUUUGUCACGAGAAAAGACCAAGGCCUUGGACAGGUCGUACUACAAGGACAUGCCCAGCGUGCAAAUCAGGCCACAGAUAACUAAGCAGUUUAAUCCCCCAUCAGAACUUCUUCUCAUGGAAGAUGACUCUCAGGGUUGUCAGCGCAGUCAGUUUAUUUGCUGCAAUUUCAUCCCUUCCCAUGUAGACAACCAUAAAUAGCUUCUGGUGGGGAAGAAACAAGCUCCAGGCAGGAGCCAAUCCAUAGUUUCUUGUGAGUUGUUGGGCCCUGCCUGAAACCUCUUGGUCUAGGCCAAUCGGAAAAUACGAUGAAAGAAUAGAAUUUCACGUAGUAAGAUUGCCUUUGUUUCUUAUGUUGUUGGUACUUUUGUCUUCUGUGCAAAACUUGCAGGUUUCCAUUGCAGGAAUGCUGUUUUCACCAAAGCAGUCAAGAGAAUGAGUGCCUCUGCGAUGCUUGGAGAGAAAUGUUCUGCGGUUCCUUGUGAAUUACAGCUGUUCCUCAAAUAAAAAGCGUUUUCCAAUGCACUGUGCUGUGUGGGUGACCCAUACGUGAGGUAGAGGGAAAAAUGCAAGUGGCGGUUCCUGAUGUGCCUGUUG